rnacentral:rRNA from 1 species
UACAGAGGGUGCAAGCGUUGUUCGGAAUUAUUGGGCGUAAAGGGCGCGUAGGCGGUCGGAUAAGUCUUGUGUGAAAUCUUCGGGCUCAACUCGAAGUCUGCACAGGAAACUAUCUGGCUUGAGUGUGGGAGAGGUGAGUGGAAUUCCUGGUGUAGCGGUGAAAUGCGUAGAUAUUCGGAAGAACACCAGUGGCGAAGGCGACUUACUGGUCCAUUACUGACGCUGAGGCUCGAAAGCGUGGGGAGCAAACAGG